GAUGAACGCUGGCGGCGUGCCUAACACAUGCAAGUCGAGCGAGGGUUUGCUCAGUAUUGAGUAUUCUAAGACUAGAAUGUUCAAUUCUGAGCAAAACCAAGCGGCGGACGGGUGAGUAACGCGUGGGUAACCUGCCCUAUACACAUGGAUAACAUACUGAAAAGUUUACUAAUACAUGAUAAUAUAUAUUUGUGGCAUCGCAGAUAUAUCAAAGUGUUAGCGGUAUAGGAUGGACCCGCGUCUGAUUAGCUAGUUGGUGAGAUAACUGCCCACCAAGGCGACGAUCAGUAGCCGACCUGAGAGGGUGAUCGGCCACAUUGGAACUGAGACACGGUCCAAACUCCUACGGGAGGCAGCAGUGGGGAAUAUUGCACAAUGGGCGAAAGCCUGAUGCAGCAACGCCGCGUGAACGAUGAAGGUCUUCGGAUCGUAAAGUUCUGUUGCAGGGGAAGAUAAUGACGGUACCCUGUGAGGAAGCCCCGGCUAACUACGUGCCAGCAGCCGCGGUAAUACGUAGGGGGCUAGCGUUAUCCGGAUUUACUGGGCGUAAAGGGUGCGUAGGUGGUCCUUCAAGUCGGUGGUUAAAGGCUAUGGCUCAACCGUAGUAAGCCGCCGAAACUGGAGGACUUGAGUGCAGGAGAGGAAAGUGGAAUUCCCAGUGUAGCGGUGAAAUGCGUAGAUAUUGGGAGGAACACCAGUAGCGAAGGCGGCUUUCUGGACUGCAACUGACACUGAGGCACGAAAGCGUGGGUAGCAAACAGG
rnacentral:rRNA from 1 species